GCAUAGUUGAAUUCCACUCAGAGUUGUAUACUCUUUGAGGUCAGACACUAUGCUAAAGUAAAUUCAUUUUGAUCUAUAGAAACUAAUUUUUAUUUUAGUUUUUAGAUCAGAUGAAACAAUU